rnacentral:rRNA from 1 species
UCUUUUAAUUGAAGGCUUGUAUGAAUGGUUGGACGAGAUAUUAACUGUCUCAAUUUAAUUAUUAGAACUUUAUUUUUUAGUUAAAAAGCUAAAAUUUUAUUAAAAGACGAGAAGACCCUAUAGAUCUUUAUAGUAUUUAUAUUAAUUUUAUAAAGAAUAAUUUAAAAUAAAUAUAUUAAUCUAUUUUAUUGGGGUGAUAAUAAGAUUUAUAAAACUCUUAUUUAUUUAUUUACACAGAUUAGUGAUUUUUUGAUCCGUUAUUAACGAUUAUUAGAUUAAGUUACCUUAGGGAUAACAGCGUAAUUUUUUUAGAGAGUUCAUAUCGAUAAGAAAGAUUGC